rnacentral:rRNA from 1 species
GACGAACGCUGGCGGCGUGCUUAACACAUGCAAGUCGAACGGAAAGGCCCUGCUUUUGUGGGGUGCUCGAGUGGCGAACGGGUGAGUAACACGUGAGUAACCUGCCCUUGACUUUGGGAUAACUUCAGGAAACUGGGGCUAAUACCGGAUAGGAGCUCCUGCUGCAUGGUGGGGGUUGGAGAGUGUCGGCGGUUGGGGAUGGACUCGCGGCUUAUCAGCUUGUUGGUGGGGUAGUGGCUUACCAAGGCUUUGACGGGUAGCCGGCCUGAGAGGGUGACCGGCCACAUUGGGACUGAGAUACGGCCCAGACUCCUACGGGAGGCAGCAGUGGGGAAUAUUGCACAAUGGGCGGAAGCCUGAUGCAGCAACGCCGCGUGCGGGAUGACGGCCUUCGGGUUGUAAACCGCUUUCGCCUGUGACGAAGCGUGAGUGACGGUAAUGGGUAAAGAAGCACCGGCUAACUACGUG